ACGAACGCUGGCGGCGUGCCUAAUACCUGCAAGUUGAGCGCUGAAGGUUGGUACUUGUACCCACUGGAUGAGCAGCGAACGGGUGAGUAACGCGUGGGGAAUCUGCCUUUGAGCGGGGGACAACAUUUGGAAACGAAUGCUAAUACCGCAUAAAAACUUUAAACACAAGUUUUAAGUUUGAAAGAUGCAAUUGCAUCACUCAAAGAUGAUCCCGCGUUGUAUUAGCUAGUUGGUGAGGUAAAGGCUCACCAAGGCGAUGAUACAUAGCCGACCUGAGAGGGUGAUCGGCCACAUUGGGACUGAGACACGGCCCAAACUCCUACGGGAGGCAGCAGUAGGGAAUCUUCGGCAAUGGACGAAAGUCUGACCGAGCAACGCCGCGUGAGUGAAGAAGGUUUUCGGAUCGUAAAACUCUGUUGGUAGAGAAGAACGUUGGUGAGAGUGGAAAGCUCAUCAAGUGACGGUAACUACCCAGAAAGGGACGGCUAACUACGUG
rnacentral:rRNA from 1 species